CAUUUGAGUGAGUGGCGGACGGGUGAGUAACACGUGGGUAACCUGCCCUAAAGUGGGGAUAACAUUUGGAAACAGAUGCUAAUACCGCAUAAAACCUAACACCGCAUGGUGUAGGGUUGAAAGAUGGUUUCGGCUAUCACUUUAGGAUGGACCCGCGGUGCAUUAGUUAGUUGGUGAGGUAAAGGCUCACCAAGACCGUGAUGCAUAGCCGACCUGAGAGGGUAAUCGGCCACACUGGGACUGAGACACGGCCCAGACUCCUACGGGAGGCAGCAGUAGGGAAUCUUCCACAAUGGACGAAAGUCUGAUGGAGCAACGCCGCGUGAGUGAAGAAGGUUUUCGGAUCGUAAACUCUGUUGUUGGAGAAGAAUGUAUCUGAUAGUAACUGAUCAGGUAGUGACGGUAUCCAACCAGAAAGCCACGGCUAACUACGUG
rnacentral:rRNA from 1 species